CACGUAGGGGGCAAGCGUUGUCCGGAUUUAUUGGGCGUAAAGAGCUCGUAGGUGGUUCGGUAAGUCGGGUGUGAAAACUCUGGGCUCAACUCAGAGACGCCACCCGAUACUGCUGUGACUCGAGUCUGGUAGGGGAGUGUGGAAUUCCCAGUGUAGCGGUGAAAUGCGCAGAUAUUGGGAGGAACACCAGUGGCGAAGGCGGCACUCUGGGCCAGUACUGACACUGAGGAGCGAAAGCGUGGGUAGCGAACAGG
rnacentral:rRNA from 1 species